rnacentral:rRNA from 2 species
AGCUAACGCAUUAAGCACUCCGCCUGGGGAGUACGGUCGCAAGAUUAAAACUCAAAGGAAUUGACGGGGGCUCGCACAAGCGGUGGAGCAUGCGGUUUAAUUCGAUGUUACGCGAAAAACCUUACCAACCCUUGACAUGGUGGUCGCGGAUCGCAGAGAUGCUUUUCUUCAGCUCGGCUGGACCACACACAGGUGUUGCAUGGCUGUCGUCAGCUCGUGUCGUGAGAUGUUGGGUUAAGUCCCGCAACGAGCGCAACCCUCAUUCUUAUUUGCCAGCGGGUAAUGCCGGGAACUAUAAGAAAACUGCCGGUGAUAAGCCGGAGGAAGGUGGGGACGACGUCAAGUCAUCAUGGCCCUUACGGGUUGGGCUACACGCGUGCUACAAUGGU